AACGCGAAGAACCUUACCAGCUCUUGACAUGUCCGGUAUGGGGCCGAGAGAUCGGUUCCUUCAGUUCGGCUGGCCGGAACACAGGUGCUGCAUGGCUGUCGUCAGCUCGUGUCGUGAGAUGUUGGGUUAAGUCCCGCAACGAGCGCAACCCUCAUCCUCAGUUGCCAUCAUUCAGUUGGGCACUCCGGUGAGACCGCCUCGGAUAACGGGGAGGAAGGCGGGGAUGACGUCAAGUCCUCAUGGCCUUUAUGUCCAGGGCUACACACGUGCUACAAUGGCCGGUACAAACCGUCGCAAACCCGCGAGGGGGAGCUAAUCGGAAAAAGCCGGCCUCAGUUCGGAUCGCAGUCUGCAACUCGACUGCGUGAAGCUGGAAUCGCUAGUAAUCGCGGAUCAGAACGCCGCGGUGAAUACGUUCCCGGGCCUUGUACACACCGCGCAUA
rnacentral:rRNA from 1 species